rnacentral:rRNA from 1 species
AGCGUACACGGUGGAUGCCUUGGCAGUCAGAGGCGAUGAAGGACGUAUUAACUUGCGAUAAGCCCAGAUUAGGUAGUAAAAACCACUUGAGUCUGGGAUUUCCGAAUGGGGAAACCCACUAGCAUAAGCUAGUAUCGCUGCGUGAAUACAUAGCGCAGCGAGGCGAACCGGGGGAACUGAAACAUCUAAGUACCCCGAGGAAAAGAAAUCAACCGAGAUUCCGAAAGUAGCGGCGAGCGAAAUUGGACUAGCCCUUAAGCUUUUUAUGCGUAAGGUGAAACUUCUGGAAAGUUGUGCGAUACAGGGUGAUAGCCCCGUAACCGGCAACGCAUAUAAAGUGAAAUCGAGUAGGGCGGGACACGUGAUAUCCUGUCUGAAUAUGGGGGGACCAUCCUCCAAGGCUAAAUACUACUGACUGACCGAUAGAGA